GUCGGCAGGCGAGGGGGUGAGGACGGCGGGGCGGCCGGCUGGGCUGGAGCGGGCUUGGGCUGGAGCGGGCUGGGGCCGGGGCCCGCGGUCACGACCCCGCCGACCGGGCCCCGCGCCCAGCGGCUCAGGAGGCGUCGCCCUCCCGCCGCGGCGCCCCUCGGCCCGCCCGGCCCGCUCCCUUCCAGCUCGGAGCCGCGGGGACUCGGCGCCCAGGGAAAGAAUGCGUUAUCUAGAAGUGAAGGACUCCGCUUUGAAGGUGGGGACGUCUGUCCCCUUCCUGGGACGCCGGUGCUGACGCUCCCUCGAAGGUCUCUGGUUCGGAUUGAUGGUCUGUGUCUUCUUUCAAGCCCUCUUCUACUUGGUGUACACCUGGAGGAUAAACUGGAACAGAGUGGCAGAGCAGGUAACAGAGGGCGGGUCCUCUUAGAGAUGGGACCCUGUUGAUCCCAGGGCAGGUAAGGAAUCUUUCAGGGUGAAAAUGGUAAGAAAUCCAUUGGCAGCAUGACGCACUUUGAUUAGUGAAAUGCAUCCAACGUGAGAGCUGGGGGCAAAAGGAAAUCCUGUGUCAGCACGUUUUCCUCUUAAUGUGGAGUUAAUUUAGUAUCUACUAAGCAGGGCUCAGCCAGAAAAAAAGAGAAUUACCUUAGAA